rnacentral:tRNA from 1 species
GCCAACGUAGCGCAAAGGUUAGCUUGUCCGCCUAUGACGCCGAACGCCUGAGUUCGAAUUUUCAGCGGUGGUU